AGUGAACGCUGGCGGUAGGCCUAACACAUGCAAGUCGAACGGCAGCACAGUAAGAGCUUGCUCUUACGGGUGGCGAGUGGCGGACGGGUGAGGAAUAUAUCGGAAUCUACUUUUUCGUGGGGGAUAACGUAGGGAAACUUACGCUAAUACCGCAUACGACCUACGGGUGAAAGCAGGGGAUCUUCGGACCUUGCGCGAUUGAAUGAGCCGAUGUCGGAGUAGCUAGUGGGCGGGGUAAAGGCCCACCAAGGCGACGAUCCGUAGCUGGUCUGAGAGGAUGAUCAGCCACACUGGAACUGAGACACGGUCCAGACUCCUACGGGAGGCAGCAGUGGGGAAUAUUGGACAAUGGGCGCAAGCCUGAUCCAGCCAUACCGCGUGGGUGAAGAAGGCCUUCGGGUUGUAAAGCCCUUUUGUUGGGAAAGAAAAGCAGCAGGUUAAUACCCCGCUGUUCUGACGGUACCCAAAGAAUAAGCACCGGCUAACUUCGUG
rnacentral:rRNA from 1 species